rnacentral:misc_RNA from 1 species
AAAUCUAAAACAUACUCUUACGCACAAAUAUAUAUAUGAAAAAUUUGUGCGUAAAAGUGAAGUCGAUAGGCUAUUGUGUAUGAAAAUGUAAAAGAAAAGAAAAAAAACAAACAAAUACACAUUAUACCCUAUUUAGUUAUGAAAAUAGUAUCACGCAAGCAGAUACUUUGGUCGCACAAUGAUCGACUAUAUGAUCUUCUUGGCAUAGCAAGUUGACAAAUAAUGUACAUAUGCAGACACGCAUAAUGCAGAAAUUUACACGCUAGUAUUUGCCUUUGCUAGAACAAUAGCUUGAGUACGAAUCUCUAGCACACAGAGCAAUUUAUGUGUAUGCAAGCAAGAGAUUUAUCUGCUAGCGUACUUUCUAUAAUCAAAAAGCUAUUGUUGAUUCAUAACAAUAGGCAACAGUAAAGUCUGCUAAUUUUGUCCAAUUGUGUACAUUAAGAAAAUGCUUAGAAGACAAAAAAAAAAAAAAAAAAAACAUACGCAUACACUCAUACGCGUAUGCUUUAAACAUUGAAAC